GACGAACGCUGGCGGCGUGCUUAACACAUGCAAGUCGUACGGUAAGGCCCUUUCGGGGGUUCACGAGUGGCGAACGGGUGUGUAACACGUGAGUAACCUGCCCACAACUUUGGGAUAACGCUAGGAAACUGGUGCUAAUACUGGCUAUGUGCUUCUGCUGCAUGGUGGGGGUUGGAAAGCUCCGGCGGUUGUGGAUGGACUCGCGGCCUAUCAGCUUGUUGGUGGGGUAGUGGCCUACCAAGGCGGCGACGGGUAGCUGGCCUGAGAGGGUGACCGGCCACAUUGGGACUGAGAUACGGCCCAGGUGCCUACGGGAGGCAGCAGUGGGGAAGAUUGCACAAGGGGCGCAAGCCGGAUGCAGCAACGCCGCGUGCGGGAUGACGGCCUUCGGGUUGUAAACCGCUUUCAGCAGGGACGAAGCUUUUUGUGACGGUACCUGCAGAAGAAGCACCGGCUAACUACGUG
rnacentral:rRNA from 1 species